UGGAAGCUGGGAUUCCAAUGGCAGGCAGGAAAUCCUCUAGGAAGGGAUCGUGACCUUCCUUGGGAUCCCUGUUUCCCCUUUUUAUUCCCUUUUCACCCAGUAAAACCCUGCUUUGCUCACCCUUUAAAGCAUCCGUGAGCGUAAAUUUUUGUGGCCAUGGGACGGACAAGAACCACAUGUUUAGCUGAAGUCCUGUGACAUUUUGGUGUGCAGCGUGGGAGCUCCAAAAGUGAUGCCAGAGGAUGCUAUAGAAAAAUGCGUGCCCUCUUGUAAUAUUUUGUUCAAGUUCUGAUCAGAAGGAUGAAUGAUGGAGCCCAAGAAGCCAGUCUCAUUGUGUUGCUCAGGCUGGAGUCCAGUGGCACGAUCUCGGCUCAGUGCAACCUCCGCCUCCUGGGUUCAAGCAGUUCUACAUCAGCGUCCCGAGUAGCUGGGAUUACAGGCACCCACUACCACGCCUGGGGCUAAUGUUGGUCAGGCUGGCUCGAACUCCUGACCUCAAGAGAUCCACCUGCUUUCGCCUCCCAAAGUUCUGGGAUUACAGGCAUAAGCUGCCACACCCAGCCUCC